AGAGUUAGGAGCUAGGGUUCCGGCGCCAUCUUUUCCGGCGCGUCUGGUCCGAGAGCACCCACCGGAGCGGGAGACAUCCCUCCGGGACACGGCGGGACAAAAGCCCGGGAGAC
rnacentral:sRNA from 2 species